GCUACCUUGAAAAAUAAUCGAGACGUCCGCGUCGCACGACGUGUCGUGCCUUGACGCCGGAACCCCCUUUGGGUCCACCGUGGAUGCAUGCCUGGACCACCGGGCAGCCUCGUCAGACGUACGGUACGGGGCCCUCCCGUACUAGGCAUGAACGUGUCCACGCCACCCGAAAAGAAAAAAAUCAGCGAUUCCCUCAAAACGGAACCAGUCUUUACAUAUUUAUUAAUCUGUGACCGGUGGUCGAUUCUGGUGGGUUUUGUGAUUUGUUGAAAGGUUUGGAUACAUCGGCGAGCCACCGAUGACUGCGUGCGAUCAAUCAAAUUGUUUUUGGCUCAUCGCAGUUGAGAAGCUGGAGCUCUGUUUACCCGCUAGCUAGUGUAUUGAGAUCGAUGGCGAAAUGUGGGCGGCCUCGUUUGGACUUUUCGAAAAGAAGACAACACGUACACACGCACGCACGUACGUAUACUCGAACCCCAAAGGUAUGUUUCGUUCCUCCGAAUAUCCGGGGUCUACAGACAUAGAUAGAUGUGCAUAGGCAAAGUCAUUCUUGUUCGAGGAGUAGCGAACACACGAAGAAGACGUGAUUAAUUAGCACCAUCUUUAGCAUUAGGGCAUCUCUAAUAGGAGGUACUAAGGAGAUACUACUCUUAUGCGAAGGAGAGAGAGCUGCAAAAAGAUAGUACUAGUUACUUACAAAAAUAACAGUUUGUGUACGGGUAACAAGAAUGAAUAGAGCAUGACACGUGGAUCCACCUGGAAAAAAAAGAAAAUAAAAAAAAAGAUAAAGGAGAGAGAAGGCAUGAGAUGAAAAUUAGUACCGGCUUCUUGUUGAAGAUGCCCUUAGGAGUAGUACUCCCUCCGUCCCAUAAUAUGAAGCACGCAUGCAUCCCUAAAUUUUCAAUUUCAUUAAUUAAAUAUGUAUGUGUUUUUUUAAAAUACACCAUUAGAUUCGUCAUCGAAAGAACUUUUAAGUGAUAUAAUUAUUUCAUUUAUAUUUAGUUAGCUAAAUUAACAAUUUAUCUCAUAAUAUGUUAUGGGGCUGAUAGGCACCAUCCAAAACGCAGCCACCACAGACGUCCUUCUUCUGUUUUCUCGGGUCGGCGGCGGUCGGUGGGGCUGGAUGCGAUGCGAGGGGGAAGCAGAAGCGGACGAGAAAUCGCACAUGACGGUGGGGUCGCGCUCCCGGUUGAUCCAUUCCGAUUUGAUUCUCGUCGAGGGGAAAAUGAGGAAGGUUUUUUUUUUGGCAGCCAAGGACCACAUGCACCGGGAUGACAACACUAUCUACCGAAAAUGAGGGGAAUAUAUAGUCUAGUGGAAAGUAGAGAAAUGCAGAGGAGAAAUUACUUUUUUUUCCCCGGAGAUUAUUGUGUGCACCCGUGUUCUACACUAAUUCCUGCAAGGCUGCAAUGAAAUGGACAUGGGGCUUUCAUUGGACGCUUGGUUGACAACACUUAUUAAGUCCCCCGCAAAAAAAAAAAAGACAACACUUAUUAAGUCUGCGUAUAUACGAAACCACUGUCAGACUAGGUUGUCUUGAGAUGUUACUACCGUAAGACAUGGCCGACUUUGUAGCGUUGUGCUAUCACUUGCAAAUUGCAUCUGACAGGGG
rnacentral:lncRNA from 1 species